rnacentral:misc_RNA from 1 species
UGUUUUCUAACAAAAUAAAAAUUUAUACAAGUACCUAUUAGGAAGUAAAAAGCUGAACCAAAUAGAGAUCCUAAAAUAUCCCAAUAUGCGUAGAACCUUAUUAUGGCAAAGGAAAAAUAGGAAAACAAAAGAACAGAAUAGUAAAUGCACAACAACAGGAGAAUGACAACCAGGGAAGCAGAACCCAAAAGCAUCUGUUAUCCAUAUCUAUUUUCUUAUUCAUUUUGUUUUACAGCCAAACAUAGUAAUAAUCAAACGAACUUUGAAAUGAUAAAUCCAUCCAUAAAUACCAUAACGUAGCAUCCAAACAAUCCCCAUUGACUAACUUCAACAUCAAAAAACAGUAAAGAUAACUUAUAAAUUCCAUUUCAGUUCAAUUAGCUUUCAUUUGUAACCACAAGUAAACUUCCCAAAAUAGUGAAUUGAGAUGUGAAACCCCUCUAGCAAGUCUUGCCAUCCAAUUGCAAUGAAUACUUAUUACCCAUAGAACCCAAAAUGAAAAUAUCAAC